rnacentral:rRNA from 1 species
AAUGAACGGUGGCGGCAUGGAUUAGGCAUGCAAGUCGAGCGAGAAGGGUUUUGAAGCUUGCUUUAGAACCCGGACAGCGGCGAAAGGGAGAGUAACGCGUAGUUAUGUGCCCUAGGGUCCGGAAUAGCCACGGGAAACUGUGGGUAAUGCCGGAUAACAUCCCCGGAUCAAAGGUGUGAUUCCGCCCUAGGAGCAGACUGCGUCCUACUAGCUAGUUGGUGGGGUGAUGGCCCACCAAGGCAAUGAUGGGUAGCGGGUGUGAGAGCAUGACCCGUCUCACUGGGACUGAGACACUGCCCAGACACCUUCGGGUGGCUGCAGUCGAGAAUCUUCGGCAAUGGGCGAAAGCCUGACCGAGCGAUGCCGCGUGCGGGAUGAAGGCCCUCGGGUUGUAAACCGCUGUCGUAGGGGAGGAAGGUUCCGUGAAGAGCGGAAUUUGACCUAUCCUAGGAGGAAGUACGGGCUAAGUUCGUGCCAGCCGCCGCCGUAAAAC